rnacentral:rRNA from 1 species
UACGUAGGGGGCAAGCGUUGUCCGGAUUUAUUGGGCGUAAAGAGCUCGUAGGCGGUUCGUCACGUCGGCUGUGAAAUCCCGAGGCUCAACCUCGGGUCUGCAGUCGAUACGGGCGGACUGGAGUACUGCAGGGGAGACUGGAAUUCCUGGUGUAGCGGUGAAAUGCGCAGAUAUCAGGAGGAACACCGGUGGUGAAGGCGGGUCUCUGGGCAGUAACUGACGCUGAGGAGCGAAAGCGUGGGGAGCGAACAGG